ensembl:snoRNA U8 U8 small nucleolar RNA
UCGUCAGGUAGGAUAAUCCUUACCUGUUCCUCUUCGGAGGGCAGAUUAGAACGUGAUGAUUGGAGUUCACAUGAUUCAUGAAUAACGUCUCUGCGUUAUCAGGUCUUGCAACACCCUGAUUGUUCCUAUCUGAC